AUUUUAUACAAAAUUUACACUUUUUUAAUUGAUGGGACACACACAUGCCUACGUCAAGAUUUAUCAAGCAUUUUCGCGUAAUGCCCAGAUAUUUAAAUAAGAAAACAAAGAAUGAUCAAAGCCCUACUGAAAAGGAUGGAAUAUUAAAUAUUUUGUAAUAAAUUCGUAUAGAAAUUAAAUCAAACUGAAUAAUAAAUAUCUGUAAAUAGAUGUGCGAAAACCCACUUUCGUUUCUUCUUCGCCAUCCCCCUCGAAUUCCUGUGGGUGGAAACGAAAAGGCGACCAGGUUCAAUGAACCUUAAAAAAUAAAAGAAAUAUAUCCGUCUUUUAGCUUUUUAGCUUUUCUUAAAGGAAAAAUAAAUAUAUUUUUAAAUCUAAAUUUAUUAUUAUUACAAAAUCAGAUCAUAAGAAGGCUUUCGGUGUUGCAGCCGCUGAGCUGAGAGAGAGAGAUUCUCCAAUGGCUUCUCUGGUAGAUGAUGGAUGGCUUCUUCAUAUUCCUGGAUAAGACCAUGAAUAUGGAUUACGCAAAGGAAUCAAGAACAUGGAUUGAUAUUUAUUACUAAAGGGAGCAAGCUAAUAAGCUAAUGAUAUGAUAUUCGAUUCGAGUCGAUAUUUUUAUUUCAUGGCUACGGAAAAAGAGUUCCCCUCGCAAAACUUCAAACAUCUCUUUUUAUUGAAUAAAACCAUACAAUGCGUUUGGUGGUUCUAUUAUUAUGCCGAAUGUAAUUAGCUUAUAACGACUGCUGUAACCUUCUUUAUAUAUAUAUAUAUAUGUAUAUGAACUUAUGUUCAUGCGA